UGAAUGUAGACUCGUUCCGAUUCAUACCGAGGCAUGCAUGGGGAAUUGCCAAUUGGGCAAGCUGAUGGCAGCAUGGCGCUGUAUGAAGAAGGCUUCGGGUUGUAAGUACUUUCAGCGGGAGAUGGGAGUAAAGGUAUACUUUGUCAUUGACGUACCGGCAGAAGAAGCACCGCUAGUCCGUGCAGCAGCCGCGUAAUACGGAGGGUGCAAGCGUUAAUCGGAAUUACUGGGCGUAAAGCGCACGCAGGCGGUUUGUUAAGUCAGAUGUGAAAUCCGCGGGCUCAACCUGGGAACUGCAUCUGAUACUGGCAAGCUUGAGUCUCGUAGAGGGGGGUAGAAUUCCAGGUGUAGCGGUGAAAUGCGUAGAGAUCUGGAGGAAUACCGGUGGCGAAGGCGGCCCCCUGGACGAAGACUGACGCUCAGGUGCGAAAGCGUGGGAAGCAAACAGGAUUAGAUACCCUGGUAGUCCACGCCGUAAACGAUGUCGACUUGGAGGUUGUGCCCUUGAGGCGUGGCUUCCGGAGCUAACGCGUUAAGUCGACCGCCUGGGGAGUACGGCCGCAAGGUUAAAACUCAAAUGAAUUGACGGGGGCCCGCACAAGCGGUGGAGCAUGUGGUUUAAUUCGAUGCAACGCGAAGAACCUUACCUGGUCUUGACAUCCACAGAACUUUCCAGAGAUGGAUUGGUGCCUUCGGGAACCGUGAGACAGGUGCUGCAUGGCUGUCGUCAGCUCGUGUUGUGAAAUGUUGGGUUAAGUCCCGCAACGAGCGCAACCCUUAUCCUUUGUUGCCAGCGGUCCGGCCGGGAACUCAAAGGAGACUGCCAGUGAUAAACUGGAGGAAGGUGGGGAUGACGUCAAGUCAUCAUGGCCCUUACGACCAGGGCUACACACGUGCUACAAUGGCGCAUACAAAGAGAAGCGACCUCGCGAGAGCAAGCGGACCUCAUAAAGUGCGUCGUAGUCCGGAUUGGAGUCUGCAACUCGACUCCAUGAAGUCGGAAUCGCUAGUAAUCGUGGAUCAGAAUGCCACGGUGAAUACGUUCCCGGGCCUUGUACACACCGCCCGUCACACCAUGGGAGUGGGUUGCAAAAGAAGUAGGUAGCUUAACCUUCGGGAGGGCGCUUACCACUUUGUGAUUCAUGACUGGGGUGAAGUCGUAACAAGGUAGCCGU
rnacentral:rRNA from 1 species